UGGCCUAGUGUUUAAGGCACCAGGCUAGAAACCGGGAGACUGUGAGUUCUAGUCUUGC
rnacentral:tRNA from 1 species